CCACCGGCAAACCUUGCUUUGACGGAGGUCUGAUCUCUGCAUUUACAUUUUUGUAUACAUUAAUACAUAUUUAUAUACACCAAGAUACAAUUAUACGUAAGAUCAUAUAAAAUUGUAUAUAUACAAGGUGUUCCAUUCAAUGUUCGUCGAUCGAAAGUAAUUCAAAAUAAUUGGUUUUAAUAAUAUUUAAACAUAUUAUAAACGAACAUGAUGGAUAAAGUGGUUUUGGCUUUGGUUCAAAAAGUGUUCACACAUCUGUAUUUAUAUCUUUCUAAUGAAACAUAUAUUCUUUGAUUCAAGUCCGCGUUUCAUUUCCAUUGGGUUUUUCUAAAGAUAUAUUUUUGAUUUAGUAGGCAAUUUGAUACAUUUAAUUGAUAUAAAAUGUACAUAAAAUAUUGAAAUGGGGAUUCAAAUAAUUCAUUCAUUAUCAAAAAAAAGAAAAAAAAAUUAAGAAAGAAAAUAUAGAAGAGAUAUUUUCAAAGUUGUAAACUUGAUUUUUUUGUUUCCGUUAAAGACAGUUACUUGCUCGCUUUUUAUAGUUAUCGUGCUAUGGUGUCAAGAGCGUGUAGAAAUGAAAGGAGGACACGUGUGAAAUCUUGUGUUAUCAAGAAAAGAAGAAAUAGAUAAGAUACAUCCAUAAAACUUACCGUGAAGAAAGAUUCCAAUGAUAACGAAUGUUAUCAUACAUAGCUUUCUGUUUAACACGUUUCUGAAAUGUAUCAAAAAAAGGAAAAGAAAAAAGUAGAGAGAGUGAGUGGCCGUUGAAAACAGGCGCGCUGCUCAAUACACGUCAAAAGAGAGCUCGAGAUUCCGAUCUUCCGACUAUUCACAUCCCCGUUCUCCAGGAUCUUAUGAGAAAACAACGGUACCGACAUCGCCAACAUCAUCCACAUGUACGAUUAGACGUCACAACGUCUAAAACUCGACCUCGAUCGGCGACCUCGAUGAGUCUUCCUCUCAAUUUCCGGAUUUCUUUGUAUAGUUUGAUUUAAUAUAAAACGAAACGAUAUAUCAUAAUAAAAAAAAUCAAUUAUAUAAUAUCUGAGUAUGAAAUUUAAAUUGACAUCGAAAUCUAUAUUAAUAUGAACAAUAACGAUGAUUUUAAAAAAGGCAUGAAGGUUAUAAAAUUACACGAAGAAAUAUUAUUCAAUACUUCUAUAUUAUUAAAUUAUUUAAAUUUAUACUUAAAUAUGUACGCAUUAUGAUGUAAUUUAAAAGAAUUUCAAAAAAUUGUAUUAAAGUAAUAACAAAAAAUCUCUAGUAUAUAUAAAAAAUAAUAUUUAAAAAUAAAAGAAUAAAAGCUAUGUAAAAGAAAUAUGAAGAAAUUGUAAUUUGUGUCAUGAACGAUAACCGUUGAAAAUCAUUAAUCAUUUUUACACACUUUGUGUAAAAAUGUUGUAUUUAUUGAUUUUGAAAGUUUUCUUCCUGGAAAAAUCUUUAUAAAUAUGUUAUUGAAUCAUUUAUUUUUAGAUUAUUUUACUUUCUGUUAUAAGAUUUUUUUUUAUUUAAUUUUUUAGAUUAUUCUUAUAUGCAUGCUGUAAGAAUAACAAAUAUGUAAAUACAUACAACUACGUGUUAACUUGGUUUAAAACAUAGUGAAUGCAUUAAAUGGUAGUGUGGAUGCAUGUCACUGUCAUGUAGCUUGUAAAUUAUGCUAUCAUCGAUGUUAUACACCGUAUCGAAAGAUCGCAAGCUUGGAAAUUUCAUUUUUCUUAAAAUUUCAUUACUCUUAAAUUUUUAUCUUUAAAUUUAUAAAAAUAUACAAAUAAAAAAUUAUACAUUUCUGCAUCAAUUUAUAUAAGAAAAAUAUUUAUGUAAUAAUUUAAUUAUUCAAUCGAAUCAAAUAACAUCUAUCAAAUCAGUUUCAAAAUCAUUCAUAGAAAUAUGCUUGAACUUUUUUAAUUCAAUCUAAAUUUUUAUGCAAAAAUAAAUCUGCACUUUAAAUUUUGGUUAGAAAAACAAUUCAACCAUGGCGUAGGCGGAAGUAUAAACAGCGACCGGUUAUCCGACAAAAAGUCACAACGUCUAGAAAGUCAUGGUUGUGUGACCGUUUAGCUUGUCCCAUUUAUACUUCUCUCCUCGAACAUAAAAGGCAUACGAUUAAAUAUCUAUAUAUUUUUAUAUAAAUAUCUUCCAUUUUUUUUUCUCGAAAAUAUUAAUGCUGUUACCUAACAACAAUAUUUUUAUAUUCAAUGCUCUUGACAGGAAACGCGAUUGGUUGAUAGAUAAAGCACCCGUAGUGAAAUCUCGUUGGUUCGCAAAAAAAUCUUCUGUUCAAUUUCUUAUUUUUUUUGAAGAUAAUUUGAGAACUUUUUUGCGAAUUGCACUGUUUUUAUUAAUUACAGACAGAAAUUCUUUCUAAAUUUGAGCACCUUGGUUUUUUAUAUGUUAAGAUUGAAUACGUAAGGUUAUGUUUUACCUAUAAGGAAAACCUGCUGGAUUGUUUACAACUGAAAUAUACAAUUGUAAUAACUAGUGGAAUAAUUAUUCAGUGAGUGUUAGUUAGAAAAAGUUAAGAAUGUUAUUUGAGAAACUUUCAUUGGAAUGAUGCGAUACGCGUGAUUAGUUCCGCAAUCGUGAAAACAUAACAUUAACAAGUCGGAUUAUGAAAAUGUAGAAGAUUGAAAGUUUGAAAUUUACAAGGUUAAAAAUUUUUAAUUUUAAAUAUAUUUCGUAAAAUUUUAUAAUAUAUGUUGUAAGAAAAAUUGAGCAUAAAUUGUUUAAAUAAAUAUAUUCUCUUAAAAA